AAUCUCAAGGAAGCUCUUUGGGAGCCAGGAUUCCCAGCACUUAGCUGGUGGGCAAAGGGGUUCAACCCCUUCCCCACACCCCACCUUCCCUCCUCCCAGUCUUCGGGAUUGCGGAGCUCCUGCCGGGAUCCAAGAGCAGGCUCUUGGAGGUCGAAGAAGGAUAUAACCUCCAGACCUGGAAUUUAAGACGCAAGAACCAGCCAGCAAAAGUGGCAGCCGAGCAUGCGAUUGUGUCAUACACUGAAGGAGAACAUAGAGUUCUGAGUCCUCAAUAGACACAUGUCAAGUACUACCUUGGAAACUGGGAAGAAACAACUUUGGACUUGACUUUGGUUUUAGGACCUUAUCGUGUGGGCAGGGGACUGCUGAUGGCUUUUUAUUAGGAAGCUAUGCAACUUGAGGUUCUACUGAAAAGGAGAAGAGGCCACUGGAGAUGGGAAGCCACGAAAACGGACGAGAAACUACAGCAUUACUUCUGCAGAUUCACAAAGGAGUCCACGUUCCAAGAUGAGAGAAAUACCAGAAGCCGAUGGCUAUUCUACUUGACUGAAUGAAAAGAAAAGGAAGGCACUUCCUGUCAAUCCUGCUUUGGAUUCCUAGACAGUUUAAGAAGCACCAUUGAUCUGAUCAUUGGCACUGAGGAGGAAAUGCCCAUCCGCAGAAGACAUGCAGGGCUCAACCCAGCUUGACAUGGGCAGUGGAGUGGGCAGAAGACAGCAGCCCCAGGGCUUGAGCCUCCCUUCACAGUGGGUACCUGGCACAGGCAGACAACAAGCAGUGAGUGGGCCAGCAGAAUGGAACGGCUUGGUCAGCACAGGCGCUUUCAUCAGAUGAAGUGGGGUCACCUUUUACACUCCUGUUAACUCCUUGGGUGGAAUUACCCAACGGAAUGAAAAUUGGAUGGAGUUAUGGCGGGACACUCUUACUGGACACUGAAACCAUCCUGCAGCAAAUUGCUUCUGUGAAAUCUUUCUGCUGUUUGGGAGGUAUCCUUCUAUAGCACAGAAACGGAAACUUCAGCCAGAAGAGAGGAAUUCAGUGACUCCAUGCCAACAGAAACAGAGCUCUGCAUUUGUUUCCUGAGCCUACUUGCACUUGGAAGGUUUCUUUCCUCACAAGAAACAUGUGUUACAGGAUAUAAAAGUGGCUUUCCGUUUGGGGUUAGAACCCGAAACAGAAAGACAACAGAGAAAAAUUUCAGCUCAGCCUUUCUAGAUUGGAAAUGAUGCAUGAAUGUUGUUGUUUCUCCAAGACUUCAGCACAGGUAUAACAUGGUGCUAAUUUAAUCACCCGGUGAAUCACCUUUUCUCUGUGAGAUGUUAACACUGAUGUAAGAUGUUUCCAUGUGAGGAACGGGAAAGACUUGAGACACAAAAAAGCUUCAAGGAUUGGUAAAUAGAAUAAUGUGGUCUGUACCCCACUAAUUUUUCUUGCCAUCCAUGAGAGGCCCGAUGGGCUGCAGCAAUGCAUCAUUUAGAUCGCCCCUUCAGCUGGUUCAUGGAAAACUAACAAAAAUUGAUGUUGUUAUCUGGGGUUUUCGUGUGUGAUUUGUCUAACUCUUUACAUUCAUUAUGGGUUUUGCCCUUCUUUAAUAAAAUGGCCUGAUAUUGCCUUCA
rnacentral:lncRNA from 1 species